CCGAGCGCGGCGAGGUCGGGGCCGGGGUCACGCGGCUCCGGGCUGCAGCUGCCGCCGUGGGGCGGGCGGGGGUCCCCGGCGGCCCCCCGGGCGUCGCGGCCGGCGGCGGCGGCGGCGGCCUCGGCAGGCAUUCCGGCGGCGCGGGCGGCCGCUGUCCUCGCGCGACCCCGGCCCGUCCAGAGCGCGCCCCGGGCGACCCUCGAGGAGGAGCGAGGGGAGCGCGGUCCGGGCACCCGAGCAAGAUUGAUUCUCUCUAAUCAAUCGAAUCUCUUUGUUCUAAUUUUCAGAAGUAGCUCCAGAAUUUAAACAUACAUAUCACAGUCUACCGUCAAAUGUACCACUUCACAUAUAAUGUAAGUAUCCUGCAACAAUAUUCUUUCAUUUAAUUCCCCUGUCCUAUGUACUACUGUGGUCAUAGAUUUUACUUUUCAGAGUAUAUUGUUGAUAUUUUGUUUUAAAUGGUCAGUUGUUUUUUAAGGAAAUUAAACGUUGAAGAAAAUUUUUCUUUUAGUGUUUUUAAAUGCAAUUAGCAGAAUAAUGUUUAAUAUUUCAUGUAAAAAUUAAUAUUCCAUACUUGUUUGUAUAUUUUAAUGUUUAAUAUGCAAAAUGUAUAGGAGGUUGAUUAUCAAACAUUACUUCUUUCAGGGAAUAGAUUGAAAUUUUAUUAUUAUUGAGUUUCUAUUUGAAUCUGAAUGAAAUGAGUAUACAUGACAUCUAUAAUUUAAAUAUAUUAAUUCAAGUUUUUAAAUAAAACUAAGAACUGCC
ensembl:lncRNA